UACGGAGGGUGCGAGCGUUAAUCGGAAUUACUGGGCGUAAAGCGCGCGCAGGCGGUUCGGUAAGUCAGAUGUGAAAUCCCCGGGCUUAACCUGGGAAUUGCAUUUGAUACUGCCGAACUAGAGUAUGGGAGAGGGAAGUGGAAUCUCCGGUGUAGCGGUGAAAUGCGUAGAGAUCGGAGGGAACACCAGUGGCGAAGGCGGCUUCCUGGCCCAAUACUGACGCUCAGGCGCGAAAGCGUGGGGAGCAAACAGG
rnacentral:rRNA from 1 species